rnacentral:pre_miRNA from 17 species
UCGGCCACCUUUUCUGUAAAGGCCACAAUCAACAUUCAUUGCUGUCGGUGGGUUGUGAAUUAUGGAAAACUCGCUGACCAAUGAGUGGAACUGUGUCCGGAUUGAACACCUUUCACUUGG